AGGACGAACGCUGGCGGCGUGCCUAACACAUGCAAGUCGAACGGAGCCCGCAAGGGUUCAGUGGCGAACGGGUGCGUAACACGUGAGGAACUUGUCCAUCGGCGGGGGAUAGCCGGCCCAACGGCCGGGUAAUACCGCGUACGCCGUCCGGAGCGCAUGCUCUGGCCGGGAAAGCAGCAAUGCACCGAUGGAGAGCCUCGCGGCCUAUCAGCUAGUUGGUGGGGUAAUGGCCUACCAAGGCGACGACGGGUAGCUGGUCUGAGAGGAUGACCAGCCACAUUGGGACUGAGACACGGCCCCAGACUCCUACGGAGGCAGCAGUGGGGAAUAUUGCGCAAUGGGCGAAAGCCUGACGCAGCGACGCCGCGUGUGGGAUGACGGCCUUCGGGUUGUAACCACUGUCGCGAGGGACGAAGAUCUGACGGUACCUCGAAAGGAAGCACCGGCUAACUCUGCGCCAGCAGCCGC
rnacentral:rRNA from 1 species